UACGAAGGGGGGCUAGCGUUGCUCGGAAUCACUGGGCGUAAAGCGCACGUAGGCGGAUUGCUAAGUCAGGGGUGAAAUCCUGGAGCUCAACUCCAGAACUGCAUCUGAUACUGGAUGGCUUGAGUUCGGGAGAGGGAUGCGGAAUUCCAGGUGUAGCGGUGAAAUGCGUAGAUAUCGGGAGGAACACCAGUGGCGAAGGCGACUACCUGGCCUGUUCUUGACGCUGAGGCGCGAAAGCUAGGGGAGCAAACGGGG
rnacentral:rRNA from 1 species